GUGAGCGGUUUAUUGCAGGAGUGGGUGGGGAAGAUUGUGUGGCCUGCAUUGUGCAGGAGGUCAGACUAAAUGAUCAUAAUGGUCCCUUCUGACCUUAAAGUCUAUGAACAGAGUGAAUUCCAUCAAUGUACCUUUUACACAAAGCCAGUUCCUCAAAAGAAAGCAGCACAUGCUGCUAAACUGAAAGGUAAAUGAGGAACAGGAAAGGAAACUCCAUUUGUGAAAGUGUGACACUCUCCCCACACUUCUGCCCCAGCACAUGAGAACGGCUGCCACCUUGUAAGGACAUGAGCUAACUAGGGGGAAAUGAGACCCAGGGGGAUGAACCUAUAGCCAACAAGCAGCAUGGAAAGGGGAAAAGGGUGAGAUUGGCCUCUCUGUGGUCCUGGGCUGGGACGUGUUGGCAUCUUACAUCAUUGGCAUUGUCGUUAAUUUCUUGUCAUUGUUCCAGAUUGUUGUCUCAACUACAGAGGUGUAAAUUUAGAGUUAUUUAAUAUGUAUGCCAUGCAGCUGAGAUUGGAAUCUGGCCAGUUAGAGCAGAAAGCUAAAAAAGCAGUUACAGUCACCACCCAGGAGCCGGCCUGUUAUCUGAGGGAACCAUACAUGGGGCCCUGGGCUGAUAAAACCACGAGAGACUCACAUUGCCCAGAGGAUCAAACAUUCAGACACCAGUUGUAUCUAUGUUGCCUCCAGGACCUCAGCUUUCAUUUAAAGAGAAAAGUUUCUAGCCAUCAUGGUUCCAAAGACAACCCGCCAAACGUGACCCAAGCAUAACUAAUGCAGUGCUGUCUGCCUGAGUCAGUAGCCAACUUGAAACAAAUCCUCUGGGAGGAGUGAAUUCCCCAACCCAGAAAUCUCACUAGGGUCCUAACUCUAAAAGCUGAUAAUGACACUUUCAAAUACCAGCAUCAAUUUCUUCAUUGUUGGAAGGAAGCCUAUGGGGGCAGGAACUGGAACUAGCUGCAGAGGGAAGAAAAGAGGAGACACAAAAAGAUGAAGGGAAAUAGAAGCACAGAAAGGAGAGUGGGGACAGAGAGAAACAAAGGCCAGAGAUAGCCCUGGGCUUAAAGAGGAGGAUAUUUUCAAAUAAUACUUAAGGUGCCAGUAAGGUUCUGAACAAAUGAUUAAGGAUAAUAAUAACUAAAGGUUUAGAUGCUAACUAGAUUCUACUCUUGAUCUUUGUGCAGACCUCCCAUUGCCAUCAGUGGGAAUUCUGCUAUGGGUCCAGAGGAGAAUAUAGCCCUAAAUUUAUAGCCUGCCAUUAAAAAUGGAAUUUGGUCUUCUCCACAAAAUGAGUUUGACAUCCCUGAUAUGGCUGAAUAGAAUGGGUUUUGUUCUUUAUAUAUAAAUCACCCCCUCCCUCCUAUGCACUGCCCUGCUUCCUGAAACAUUUAAAAUUUGUUUUCCUUUGGUUAUUUGUGGUUGUAGCCACCAGCUGGCCUGUCUCAAUGCUGAAAUGCUCUGCAUAUUAUUCCAUUAUCCCAUUAGGUUGAACAUGUCCUUCCUCCCUCAAGAGCUGUUAAGACAUCAAUCGUACUGGAGAGAGACAGUCCUAGUCACAGGCAAAGAAAGCCCUGCGUCCAACAGGCACUGCCACCCCUUCCCCUUCUCCUUGGGGAAGACCCACUGCCUGUAGACAACCAGCUGGGUGAUCCUGUAUCUCAAGGGGCACAGGUGACUUCUCACUCCAUGCCAAUGUCUUGUGCUCGUGCCUUAAGAGGCGAUACUCUGGUCAUUUGGUGCCAGGCUCCCUGACUAAGUAGGUCACAUUUAUGUUAUUUCUCAUUUAUGUAUAAAAUCUUAUGAAUACUACUAGUUGGUUUGAAGCCUGCUGCUUUAUCUUUUCAGAUGGCCAUUUGUAACGCUGCAUUAUUUCAAGGUCUCGCCCUGUCCCUCCCAUCAGGACUGGAAACUAUAUUCUAGAACUGCUGCCUCCGUUGCACAGAAUCUUGGGAAACGGCCCUGACUCAGGGCAAUGACUUUUAAAUUGGGGUCUCUUCUCUCUCCACUGGGAGUAGAGGGGAAUAGCACGGGAAUGGAAGUUGCAGGCCCCCUGAUCCAGCCCUACAUAAGCACGCUCACUCGCUGCUGAGUCUGCAGGUAAAACCAUGCAUCUUCCCACCCUGCUCCCACUGUGGUCCUUAAGGGAAGCAGCUGUGGAGUCAGCUCACACGUCCAGGCGUGCAGGCUCCAGCAGUGCCCAGCUAGUUCAAGCUUCUGUCCUCUGCUCAGCCCAGUCUUGGGCAACCUUCACGGACACCCUCACCUCCCGUAGCAUGAAGCUUUCUGGGAAGUGGGAGAAUGGGGAGAGGGAAGAGGACAAAUGGUGGCAAAACACAAUGUAAACGGGAAAGGGGGAGAAGAAGAAAAGAAAAAAAAAAAAGAAAGUAAAACAGAAAAAACAAGAGAGGAAAAGAGUGACAGCAGUCACUGUUAGGAUCUGGUAUGAGGGGACAACACACACCUGUCCACUAAUUUACGCCAAAAUUUAGUUCUCUCCCCCUCUCCCCUUCAUGCAGAUCCCCCCAGCUCUCUACUUUCCCUGCCAUCCCCUCCCCAGCCCCCUGACUUCACAUUCAAUUAGCUUCAGGAACAUUUGGUACAGGAAGAUGCUCAGAAUGUAUCAAAUUAACGCAUUAUGAAAAUACAGUCAGGAAAUGUCCAUCUGAUCCUUAUUCAGUUAACAGGAGAUGAUAGAGUGUGGAUGUCAAGCUAGAAGCAGGGGACAGUGUUCUACCUAGACAUAUGUUUUCUGGGCCACGGUGUCAUAUCAUCUUCCAAACGCUGCUGCUGCCAAUCUCCAUCACCUCUUUCUGCUUUCACCCUUGUUUAUACCCUCAGAGAGGGGAUAGGAGGGAGAUAAGAGACAGUGAAAGUACUCCUCCCUAUUACUCUUAAAGAACAUGCUCAUUCUUGGCAUGACAAGGCCAGCAUAGACCAAUGAAAUUUUUUUCUCCAGGAUAGCUACAAAUGGCCUGUGGCUCCUAUUACAUCACUUUCCUUUCCCAGCUGUUUUCAUAGCGACCCCUUCCUUUACUGACACUUUUCUACUAUCUGAGACCUUACUGGGAUCCCAAGGAGAAAGGCCAAAAGUCACUAUUAUUUGAAGGGUGGAUUAAUUACUGUGAAUUAAGGGCUAGAUUUUCAAAACUGACUAAUGAUUUUGGGUGCCCAACCUGAGACACCUCAAAAGGGCCUGAUUUCCAGAGGGUGAGUGGCUCACACAUCCUGAAAAUCAGACCUCUUUCAGGUGUCCAUUUGGGCCCUCAAAAAUCCAGGCACUGGAAACGAGUAGUCACUUUUGAAAAUGUAGGCCUUAGCCCUUAUUUCUGUUCAUGAACAGAUCCUAAGCUCCAAGAACACAGUAGUUAUUUAUAAAUAUUCCCCAGAUCGUUUGGAGAAACAAUUUUCAGCUCACUAACUCCAUUUGCUAAUCUUUAUUCACUUACUAUUAUUUCUGUUCCUUGAUUAGAUGAAAGAAAAGGAGUACUUGUGGCACCUUAGAGACUAACCAAUUUAUUUGAGCAUAAGCUUUCGUGAGCUACAGCUCACUGUAUCGGAUGCAUCCAGAUACAUGCAGAUAAUAAACACUGAUUCUAAUUUAACUGUCUAAAACUAUGCCCAUGUUGUGGCUGAAAGCACACUAGCAUCAACAGUCUUUAGCAGGGCACUAACACUGUUUCCCUAGCUGAUGUGCAUGAAGUUAUCAUCCUGAGAUCCAUGCUACAGUCUAACCCCACUGGUGCAUAGGUAGGAUAUGUUUAGCACAGUUUAGUAAUGGAGUCUCCGGCGGAAAAACACCACAGCUGUCCAUGAUGCACCAGGGAAGCUGAGCUGGCAUGUGUUCAAUGCGUCAGCUGUGGUGUGGACAGGCCCUAAUAGAGAUGGAGUCCAUAAGUCCAACAAGGGCUGAAUGUGCUCCAGAUAAUGAGCUGCACAUCACCCAGCUCUCCACUCUUGCUCAUUUAAGCAGAGAACCUCUGAGAUUCCACUUUGAGCAAGCAAGGGAAAGUAGCUGAGCGAGCCUGCUUAGAUCUAUUUUUAUAUACCUUCUCCAUCUGUUCCUCUCCACAGCUGGCAGAACCUGGGACUGCAGUGUUAGAUCUUCAUAACAAAAGCUUCCUUAUGAAACAUGGGCACUCCUCUCUCCCCACCGGGUUUGGUUGGCUGGGGCAAUCUAUUUUGGGAGACACAGAUGGCAUACCCAUCUUCUCACUGAGCAGCAGAGAAGAACAAGCAAAUGCUAGCCAGUGAUAAAUGCUCAGCCAAAUACAACAUUUUCACCACAUCAAGGGUCUGACAAACCCACAGAGCCUGGGGCGGGGAGUUCAUGGCUUGGGCUGACACACAGGUCCCAUCAAGGGGAAUGGGAUUCAUGGGUGAGUCUGAGUUACUGGACAGUUUUCACUAGUAUAAAGGCUUUUGAAAGGCAUAAAGACAUAGCAGAGCGCUCCCUGCCAUGGUACCUUCAUAGCACAGAGCUGUAUGUCCCAGCUCCAUCCUGUCUGUUAUUUGAUUCUGCUGAUGCUAUGUCCUGUAUUUAUUUUUCUUGUGCAGAUAUCCAGGCGGGGGGUGGGAGGACCAGGUUUGACCUGCUGGAAAGCCAUUGCAUCCCUAACUGCAGCACUGACCAAAAAUCAGUGAAGAACUACAUGAGGCAGCUUCUACCUACCUUAGGAUGCGCAGAAGCAAGGGGAAGUCAAAGGCUGUGGAUCUUGAAAGGAAACAGGUUCCUGUGCAUCUCAUCUUGAAGGUGAUGUCAGCAGCUGUGUCUAUUCAGGGGGAAAAACAGAGACACACAUUUUAACACUGAGAUAUCUGACACACAGAGCAUCGGACCAAAUUGAAAAACAGCAAAUGAAUUGCUAAACACCUAGGGAUCUCCCUUCUUAGACAGGCAGAACAUGGCUGUACUGGGGGCAGAGUAGCACUUCUGUCAGGGCCUGAUUCAUAAAAAGGCCUUAAUGUAAAUGAGAUCCAGGCCCUCAACAUUUAGCCUUGUUGGUUCUGAGCUAUCUGCAUUUUACAGACCUGCAGGCCCAAAGGCCAGAGCAGCUUGACCCGGGGUUUGAAGGGAAGAGAAGGUUAAUCUAUCGUUACAAGGGUUCCAUGCUGAAUACACCAUUUUCCAGAGUGAGAGGUGAAUUGAAGAUCCCUAUGGGGGGAAAUGAAACAGAAGGUGAUAUCAACCUGCCGACACCGCAUCUCACACUUGAGUGGUACAAUGAAAUCUUACUGUGAGAUUGUUUCUGAUGGUCAUCAAGAAGGCCAUGCUGCAUUAAUAUCAUGGGAGGUGCAAUCAUCCUGGGGAUCUCUGAUAACAUAGGGUAUGCUGUCUGGAUCUCGUUUUGUGGAAAGCGUUAAGUUUUGACAUCAUUUUAAAAUGCAGGAAUCAGUAUGGAAAGGAAACUCCUUGGGGAGCAGGUGUUAAGAGACAGCAGCCAGCUGAAAACUGCCUUUUAGACAACUGCUACCCACAGAGUUGGGGGCAGAUCUAAAGAACACAAGACCCUGGUUUUUGAUUACACACAUGUAUGUUGCAUUGGUUAGUUCUGCAGCUUGAAAGGCUUUAGUGCGAAUGAGAGAUAUUACUGUGUAUUUCCUCUGGAAGGAAAUCAAGAUGUUGGGUCUGAUGAAUUCAGAAAGACACAGCUGUAGGACAAGCAGCUGGCCUUAGGCUUUGUUUAUGGUGUUGAGCUAUUAGUAAUGGGAGAAGAGAAUUUUUUUAUGCAACCUUUAGCAUCAUCUCCUGUUGGAAGUAAAGGAGGGUUUCUGGAAGGGGUUGAUGUUCUCCUUCCCCCCCCCCAGCCUUCUGUUCAUGUCUUCAGAAGGGAUUUAGAGAAAGGCAGGGAAUACCUACAUUAUUGUGCCAAUCCCAAAUGGUAAGCACCUUAGUAAUGAAGGAGCCAAGAGUGUGUUGCUGCAAGGUGUGAGCACCCCUUUGGCAGGUAUGAAGCACCCUCAUCUCCUAUCAAAAUCAGUCUCUGAUGCUGAAGGCACCUUACAGGAGAUGCGCAGCACCUUUGGCGCUAGGCCCCUGGGUAUAAAGCUGGGCAUGAAGAUCCCAGUUCAGCUCUGGGGUUACACUCUCAUUGGCAUCACUGGAAAGGGGAGGCCAGUUGUGCUAGGGCUGAAUUUGGGUGAGGAGUGGGCUGUAUAGACAUAUGUGGAUGCAGCCGAACGUCUGAACUUGCUUGUUAACAUACCUGUGUCUGUAGGUUCACAGCCAAAGCAGCAUCAUUUGAUUACCCAUCACAAUGAGGUCUUCAGCAUCCCAAAAUACAGAGAAGUUUUCCAACAUGUUCUGGACUAUUGUACUCAAAGAGAUGUGUGGGGGUUACUUGCCCACAGUAAUGCUUGUUCUCCGAACAUAUUGCCCCCCAGAGCCUCACUGUAGGGUCUACCUAGAUGCACCCUCCCUGAGCUGGGUGACUAAUGAUCCCUGCUGGUGUAACAGCAGCAUGUCUCUCCCCAAGGAUCAUCUGCUCUUGCUGCAGUGUCCAGAGAAUAGCACUUGGUGUCAGCUCAGGAAUGUGUCUUUAGUUGUAGCUCCACUUCCUGACACAAGGGAGAGUCAGUAAAAGGCACCGGAUCUCUCACUUAUAAUUCCACACCCAGUGCUGCAGAUGGUUAAAAAAGUCUCUGUAACAACAGGUUGGUUAGAGUAGGUCAGUGAUAACCAGCCUUAUUACACUAGAGCACCACAUAAACUGAAGCACAACCUUGUGGGCCAAACAGAGUCUACAUAUUUUAAUAAGAUUUAAAGUCACCUGGACUGAUUUAUAUUUUACGUUCAGCUUGUUUCAUAUGUAUUUAGAUAGACAACACUGUACAUAGACAAUCUACGUACACACUUGUGUAAACUAAAAUGAUGUAAACAUGACGACAAAACGCUAAUGAAUCAGCCGUUAGUAUAUUAUGGUGAAGCCUUAUGAAAUUCUCUGGUGGACCAUAUACGGCCCGCAGGCUGUAGGUUGGGCACCCCUGGAGUAGGUGGUGGCUCUGCCAUUCAAACUGAUCUGUGUGUCUGCAUGGGGCUUGGUCAACAUUGACUUAUUGUGUGUAGCGUGGAACUUAACUGUGACCAUUUUUGGUCUCCAUGAAAGUCUCCUGUCCAUAAUUUCCAUAGGAUGCUAUGUGGCCAGCUGGCAGCUUCUUUUACUUGUUUCUUACAAAUGGAUCUUUGGUUUGAGGCAAUCCAUUCGAGAAUGAAGUAUUCAUCCAAAAAAUAAGACAGUGCUUAGACAGU